rnacentral:rRNA from 1 species
GUAGGGUGCAAGCGUUAAUCGGAAUCACUGGGCGUAAAGCGUGCGCAGGCGGCUUUGCAAGACAGAUGUGAAAUCCCCGGGCUUAACCUGGGAACUGCAUUUGUGACUGCAUGGCUAGAGUGCGGCAGAGGGGGAUGGGAUUCCGCGUGUAGCAGUGAAAUGCGUAGAUAUGCGGAGGAACACCGAUGGCGAAGGCAAUCCCCUGGGCCUGCACUGACGCUCAUGCACGAAAGCGUGGGGAGCAAACAGGAUUAGAUACCCUGGUAGUCCACGCCCUAAACGAUGUCAACUGGUUGUUGGACGGCUUGCUGUUCAGUAACGAAGCUAACGCGUGAAGUUGACCGCCUGGGGAGUACGGCCGCAAGGUUG